UUGACUUUUAGCAGGGAGAUCAAUGGACCACUUUGUGUUGGUGUAGCCAUGUGCUCAGACAUGCAUUCUACAACACAUCCAUACACGUGUGUGAGAGGUGGGGUUCCUUUACCCCACUUCUCACACACCAUCUCUAUUCUAGGUCCCUGGACGGUGUGCAGCUGUUGGUCUGUAACUCGCCAAUGGACAUCGAGCUGACCCCCAACGUGGCGGUGAGAGGCCGGAGGAUCCGCUGCAGAAGGAGGCCGCUGCAGGAGGCCGGAGGAGUGGGUCGAGUUUCUGCUGCUCGUGGGCGCCCUCUGCGGGACAGAAAGAAUACUGCAUCUGCCUUUUGGGUGGCAUCAAUCACCACCUCAACAGGCCAAUCUGACUGCACCUGGGUGCAAGAAGGCGAGCUGGCCAAUCGGCUGAGAGGGCCCUGUUUAAAAGAGAGAAGAUGGAAGAGGUUGGUGGUCUUUGAGUGUGUUAAUGUGGACACUGCCACUGAGUGAGGUGAAGGUUUGUGGUGAGAGGUUGUAAGGACUAGAACCGGCCCCGAUAGAAGUUAUAAUGUUAGUAUCGUGACAAACAGGUAGAGACAGAACAGACUCAAGGAAAAGUCCUUGAGGACUGUUCAGGCCAACAAAAAAAAGGAAUGGAACGAUGAGGCAUUUUUUUAAUUUUUCUAAUUCACCAAAGUCCUUGCACAAUAAGUGUUUGUUCUUCAGAGGAACCUUCCUUUGUCAUUUCAGGGGAUGCGAGGUCAGCUCCUGUUGAAGAGCAGGAUGGACAGCCUCUCGUUGCCAGCUCUCGUCGACAUGCGCGUCUCCCCCUUCAAGCCGUGUUUGCCCAGUAGGCGGAUGUGGGUACGUCUGUCUAACUCACAGAUAGAGAGUGGAAGGGCCGACCACCGACGGCAGGAAAGCGGACACCACUCCAGAGCCGCUGCCCACCUCCAGACACACGUGUGGGCUACACAAUGGCCACAGUUAAAACAGUUGUAUUUGUGUACAUACAAUUAUUUUUCUUGAACAAUGUAAAUAAAGGUUUAUAUUAUCUGAA